GCGAGAGUGGCGGAACUGGCAGACGCGCAAGACUUAGGAUCUUGUGGGUGACCGUGGGGGUUCGAGUCCCCCCUCUCGCACCA
rnacentral:tRNA from 1 species